CCCCAGGCCUUCAGCCGGAGCUCGGUGCCCUGAGCUCGCCCUCCGGCCUCCAGCUGGAGAGCGGAACCCUGCCUGUUGCUUUGUCUUCUUCUCCGACAGUUUUCCUACCCUGAGGAAAGUGAGAGGCGCUUUCGAGGGUGUUUCCUCUCUGGAAGAGCCGCGUGAAGGAACUGCGAGUUGGGCGCCGUGUGUCUCCGGCCCGAGAAGAGCUCAGGGCCGCGCGCCGGCCAAGACAAGCGCUUAGCACCCCCACCCCCAUCUCCAACGCCCGCCCCCCCCCCCCAGCGUCCGGGGCGGCGGGGACGCCGGGCAGAGGCCUCUCAGAUCUGUAUUGGGGUCGUGUGCAGCAGAGAGGCAGGGCCUGGAAGGAAAGGCGCCCUCCUCUGGCGAAGGGAGAGGAAGAUCUAAAAACCACGGUGUGUAAGGUCUUGCAAGCAAGAGGUGCUUCACCUGUACCUUCAACCCUUGCCAGGUCUACCUGGAGGUAGAAGUCCACGUGGCCAGCUGCAUGGUGCUUACGCCUGCCAGAGUCCCCUUCAGCUCUGUUCAGCUAGCCUCCAGUCCAGGGUGCCCGCUCCGCUGCCUUUUGUCUCCUAUAACCAUGGGAACUCGUAUUUUGCACCAGGCCUAGUACUUCAUUCCAAGCAACUGUGCUGAGGACCAAAGGAUUAGCAAAUCUGCUUAGGCUGCCAUCAAAUCUGUGCCUGAGGUGAGUGCUUUUGACCAAGACAGCCCUAAAUGUCACUGACCUUUCAAAUGAUAGCAAUUAUAUUAUAUUAUGAUGUUUGGAGGGCCCUAACUCCCUGAAAUGUUAGGUUUUGUUGAGCUGGGGUUUGUUUUCUUCCUUAUUUGCAAAUAAUGUCAGCGGAAGGAAGUGAAUACAUUUUGAAGUUUGGGGAUUUAAGGAGUAUGUGGUUUCAGGUGACUAGAGGAAACUUGGAAAAAAAAAAAAAAACUUUAACAUUUAAUUGAGUUUCCAAGAAGUAGUUUUAAAAAUAUCUAUCUAGAGAUUUUGCCAUCAAUGCCUCUUAUUUAUCAAUACAUAAAAAAUAUCUGUAGCUUCACUUAUAGGAUUAUUGGUUUCCUAAUAUGUAUAGCCACAGAGAUCUGUAGAUCUUAUACAUAGCUCAACACUAACAUUAAUAUAUGUCAAUAAAUCUUGUUACUUUGAAAUAUGCUUCCCUAAUGAAGCCAAAUUGAUCAUCGUUUCAAUUACACAUAUUUUUUGAUAGGAUGAAAUUCUUCUUUAAUGAUUUCCUCAAUUAUAAGGUUAACUAAAGGAGGAAAGAGGGAAAUGAAAGAUGAUACAUGGAAACAACCAGUCAUGCAAAGGCAUGAAGCUUAAGAAUGGCAAGUGGCUCAGAAGCUGCCUGUCCCUGGUUAUCUAGAUAUCUUCUUUGGCAAGGUAACAGCAACCUCUUGUUGAAGGCUCCUGGCUUCUAUCUACUCUUACUGGCCCUUUCUUUGUCCUCUUUUAAUCAGUCACAAAACACAGUGGGGCACAUUCAUUAGCCAGGGUUUUCUUUAUAGCCUGGGUACACUUUGCAGUCAUCAGCCAGGUGCCAGCCUCCACCAGUGGCAUCUGAUCAUGCUUCACUUGUCUGCACCCCUUCCCAUUUUCUUAUGCCAGCUUAGAAUUUCUUAAAAAGAAAUAAAUGAAAUCCUAGUUGGCAGUCCUUCCCCCUACCUCCCCCUAGCCACACCACACUUACAAAACAAAAAAGCAAAAGAAAUAAAGUAAUUUAGUUGGUCAAGUUCUUAAUUUAUUUUUAUUUUUUAACAUUUAUUUAUUACUGAGAGACAGAGAGACACAGAGCAUGAGCAGGGGAGGGGUAGAAAGAGGGGAAGACACAGAAUCUGAAGCAGGCUCCAGGCGCUGAGCUGUCAGCACAGAGCCCAACGUGGGGCUCGAAUUCACAAACUGCGAGAUCAUGACCUGAGCUGAAGUCGGUCGCCUAACCAACAGAGCCACCCAGGCGCCCCGGUCAAGAUCUUUAUAGUUAGAGAAUAUUUUGGAAAAUAAAAAAAGGACAUGGUUAAUAACUUAAUCAUGGGUGACAAGAUAUAAUUAACAAAAUGACUCAACCAACAAGCAUGUUAGCUUGCAAAUCAAGAGUAAACAGGUAUUAUUAUUUUCCUUUUUUCUGGUAAGUUUGCUAAAUUAUACAUUUAAAAAUAUCACUUUUGAGACCUUAUACACACAGCUAACCCAGCUUAGAAUGUUCUCCUUCUUACCCUUUAUUUUUAACUCCUCUUCCCUCCAGGUCAUGUCCCAUUCUCCUCCUUAAACUUGCUAACAGCUUUCACCUCCCAUCCUGGGUAAAAUUCCCCAUAUACAAUUAUAUUUGCUCACCUAAAUGCCUAACUUGCCCUCUUACUGCCUUCCCAGGGAAACUGUAAACUCCUUGAGGACAUUCACCAUUUCUGACACUUCUCUUGUUUCCUUCAUUGCACCUCACAUGUCCAGGGCACAAAAAACAAAAACAAAAACAAAACAAAAACACGAUGUUUAAAUAUUCGGCUUGUGGCUAUACAAUGUAUCUCUAUGAGUAGGCAACUGAAAAGAAAAUUACUAUAUAUAGUCUAUUACUGUAGACCGAGAGGCAUCUUCCAGUGGUAGAAGUGAAGGCAUUUCAGUUAACUUACUGAAUCUUACAGUCAUGCAGUGAGCCACAUGGUAGUGUUUCCCUCACUAUCCUGGUAGUUGUGAGAGAAAGAUGAGUUAAGUGUGGUCAGAAGGAUGCUUACAGUUGAUGGGGUGAUUAUAAGGUCCAAUUCCCAUUUUGUAGAUGAAGAAACUGAGGCUUAGAAAAGUAAAGUGGAAAAAAUAAUAGUGAAGUGACUCACCCAAGUCGUGCAGUUAAGAGCAACA